AUGUACUUUGGGAUGAAAAUACACCAAACACACGUUUACAAUACAUUUGGGAUUUUGACUCUGUUUUCUAUUUAUUUUGUGUGCGUGCGUUUGUAUCUGGGUAGGGAAGGGAUGUGCCACACUGCACCUGUGGAAGUGAGAGGACAACCUGCAGUCCUCAGUUCUCUCUUUCUGCCGUGUAAGGCGUAGAGCUUGAACUUGGGUCAUCAGACUUAGUGUGAAGUGCCAUUAUCCACUGCUGGGGGAUGACGUCUUUCUGUAUGCUGUGAGUAUGUGUCGCUCUGAUUGGUUGACAAAUAAAGCUGCAUUGGCGUAUGGCAAGACCGCUUCCAGGCAGGCAGGAAAUCCAAGCAGACAGAGAGAAGAAAGGAGAGGAGAGGGAGACGCCAGCUGAAGCCAAAGGAGAAGCAAGAUGCCAGCAGACCGGUAAUGCCAUGGCCAUGUGGCAAAACACAGAUUAAUAGAAAUGGGGUUCAUUUAAGAAGAAAGAGCUAGCUAGCAAGAAGCCUGCCCUAGGUCAUACAGUUUGUAAAUAAUAUUAAGCCUCUGAAUGAUUAUUUUAUAAGUGGCUGCAGGACUGCAGGGCCAGGAGAGACCAGAAAAACCUUCAGGCUAUAAUCCAUGAUCCAUCUCACUGCCCAAAACACAUUUAUACACACACACACACACACACACACACACACACACACACACACACACACACACGUAUUACCUUAAUGAUAGAGAACUACACACCCAAGUGAUAACAUUGUCACCUCACUACUGUUAUUAAAGAAAUCAUGACAUGAAAAGGCUGACUUUGCCUACCUUUGUAUCGAAGUUUGGUAAACAGAAUUGGGGAAGAAAACUAGUCAGGAGGAAGAGGCAGCAAUACCCGGGUGAAUAGGCGCAUACAAGCUUGCCAGGAAGUGUGGUACCUCUGCCAAGAGGAAUCGAUCCACGUUCAUUGUGAAUGAGUCCACUUAAGGCCCACCAAAUUAGAAACCUUGGAGUUGGCACAGCAACGGAUUUAAAAGCCUCCAGGUAAACCUGAGUCAUGCUAAAGUUUCAGACAAUGAACUUGCUCACCAUGGGAGGAAAAAAAAGAAAUAAACAAAGAAACCAUUUUUUUUUUUAAAUCCAGGCAUAGUAAAUAAGCCCACACCUGUAAUUCCAGCAUUCUGCAAGCUGAAGCAAAAGGAUCAUGGGUGUUGGGCCUUCUUGGCCCUCAGAGCAAGAGCCUGUCUCCCAAAACAAAAACAUAAAAGCAUCUUUAAUAACUAUCUCAGUUUACCUGUUGGCUAUAUUUAGCUGGAAAAUGUUCAAGGUCGCUUAAGCUGCUAGCAAAGUUCUCUCGUGCACAUAGUAAAUGAGCAUUCUUUUCGAAGCGGGUGUGCCAUGUUGAGGGAGACAACGAACUGACCUAUAACAAGGUCCCAACGUUCAUCCAGUACACAAGUGUUACAACUCAAGAGAGGUGGGCUGACUUCAGUGCUAAGCAAAUGGGAAGACCAAUCAAUGCGUGAGCCCGGAGAAUACGCCAGACAGCAAGAGUUAGGCCUUCUCUUCUCAUACCCGAGAAGCCUAACUUUGAACUCUGCCACGAACUUUUAAUAAGAGACAGAAAACCCAUAAUUAUAGCUCAUCCACCCGGAGGUUUGCUGGCUUGGGAAAUGGUUUAAUGAUUAUAUUGAAAGUGGGGGAGACUAGGGGUGAAUAAAUUAUACUCAGACAAACAUGCACUACCAAAAGAAUGUUUCGACCUUGGCCCAAGGACAUCCCUGUGUCCUGGUUUUGGCAUCUGCUCCAUCACUUGCAACAGGCUGAAUGAUGAUGAUCAAGUUCUCUUUUAAUCAUGUUUUGUGUACCCAAAUCCAUAUGUAAUUACCAAAACGCCUCCUAUGAGGAAUUUAACAAUGCAAUAAUUCAGGUCUGAGGCAUUCCCUAGGACAUGCGGGAGUAGCUUGAUGACUUCUCUAGCAAGGAAAUGAGCAACAGAGCAAGAAAGCAGUUCAGAGUACACAUGGUGAGCACAUGCCCUGUGCAAUGCAUUCUUAAACUCAGAACUACAAUCUGAAACAUCACCAAAGAAAACACUUCGUUUUCCUGUUCAAAGAAGGAGGUUCCUGAGCAAACUGAACCCACCACGGUGAAGUCACCCUCCUGGAGCCGAAUUCUUGUCCAGCACUCAGUUCCUUGACCCCACACUGAAAUCCAACCCGAAUGUGUGCUUACAGGCAAGCUAGUGUACAAGCAAAAACACCCACGACCCGCUGAUCCGCUAGGAGGGUGUCUCUGGAUACCAAUUUAGUGGAGCUGUGGGAGUGUAGUGGGUCAAGGUAUAUUUUUAAAGGUCUUUGGAAAUUGCAUGUCUCUAAUCCGGAUCUGGGGGUGGGGGCGGGGGGAGACUCCAAGUAAGGGAUGCCGGUGGCGUUUGCAGACUGCAGCGGGGAGGCGAUGCAGCCUGCAGCGGAGCACCGCCAGUCCUCCAUCCGCUUCCAACCGCUUGGCAGGCUAGACGCCCCGUGACGAGCGCUCCAGUCCGGGUUCCCCUUUCCACCGCCAUGUAGGGAAAGGGAGGAUGGAGCGGCAGUCCGCCCCCGCCGCACACAGCAUCCGCCCACUUGGCGGUGAACUUGAGCCAGCAGCGGUUAACCCGGCCGGGGGUUCUGGGCCUCAGCCGGCGCCGACGCCAAACGCCAGAGGCUCCCUCAGGUGGGGCGCAAGCCUCGAUGCGCCGCCCUUCCCGGCUCUGCUCCCCCAACCCGCCCCUCUCUAGGGCGGCGGCCCCGGGGACCCUUUCCCAAGGGCGUAGGCGGGCAGGCGGGUGGGGGACGCGAGCCCCCCGGGGCGCGGGCACCUUCCCCCCCAAAGUCGCUGCAGCGCUGCCCAGAGCCCCGACCGCUUCUCAGCGCUGCACGCACAGCUUGUCUUCAUCUCGCCCCAUCAGGGAAGCGGAUGGAGAAGCAAAGACAGACAAGACAGACAGACGGCCCGUGGCGCGGGCGAGCCUGAAACCCGACCGUCUCCGAGCCCCGGGGCACGGCGCCGCGCUGCAGAUGCCAGAAGAAAAUGAAAAUAUAUGAGCUACACGGUCAGAAAGAGCUCACCCCCAGGAAUGAAAAUGAGAGUCAUGUUAAAGGGCUAAGAAAACUUCAGGAGGAAAACCCAGCAAUCUAGUGCAUUCAUCUUCAUUCUCAGCCUCUCCAGUGAGAGGGAGAGACUGCCAUGAUUGACUUUUAUCCCUCUGGAACUGUAAGCCAAAGUAAGUUCUUCCUUAAAUAAUUUGCUGCUUUUGGUCAUGGUUUUUUGUCACUGCAACAGAUAAGUAACUAAUAGAGACGCUGGUACCAGAGAGUAGGCUAUUGCUGUGAAGCACAUGACCAUAUUGUUUUGAGGGGGAAUGUGCAAGACUGGAAAUAUGGACGAGAAAAGCAGUUGAGUACUUUAAGUGGUAAUCCUAAUAAGACCUGAAAGACACCAGUGCUGAGAGCAGUGAGGACUCAGGAGGCCCAGCUCAAGAGGUUCCAGAGAAAAACAAUAUUAGUAAUUGGGUUAGAAGCCAUUCUUGUGAUGGUUGGGCAAAGAGUCUGACCACCUUCUGCUUUUAUCCUAAGAACUUGCCUACUGUGGGAUGGUCUUUAUGUCAAAUGUGUUGCUGAUUGGUCAAUAAAUAAAUCACUGAUUGGCCCGUGGCCAGGCAGGAAGUAUAGGCGGGACAAGGAGGAGAAUAGAGCUGGGAAGUGGAAGGCUCAGGGGAGACACUGCCAGCCGCCAUCAGGACAAGAAAGAUGUAAAGUACCGGUAAGCCACAAGCCACGUGGCAAGGUAUAGAUUAAUAGAAAUGGAUUAAUUUAAGCUGUAAGAACAGUUAGCAAGAAGCCUGCCACGGCCAUAUAGUUUGUAACCAAUAUAAGUCUCUGUGUUUACUUGAUCGGGUUUGAGCGGCUUGGGACUGGUGGGUGAGAGAGAUUUGUCCUGACUGUGGGCCAGGCAGGAAAACUCCAGCAACAAAUGGCGUCCAACGUGGUGGCAAGAGUUUCCACCUAAAACCUGAGAAAAAAGAUUCUAAAACGGAGCUAAAAACAGCUUCCUAAUUGUCUCUCUCAAAUGAGCGGCAGCUGCCGGUUUGAGCUACUGGCGGGUUCCUGGCGUGCGCGCUCGACCUGCAGUAUGAGGUCUCUGCAAGUGGCACAUUAAGCUACAUUGUGGAUUUAGCCUUUGCUAGUACAAAACAAAAAAAAAAGAGGUUUCUGGGCUACAUGCUGCUUGGAUAAAAGCAUAGACCCACGAUAGCUCCCAGAGCUGGUGGUAAGCAUACUGCCGCCAUGUUGGGAAACUGAGGUGGGCGGAGCCAGCAGCCACAGAUGCUACAGCUUAAAGCAACAGAUUCACAAUAAGACAGAUUCAGAUGUAAUAGUUUAAAAUGUGUGUAAAAUAUACGUAGGCUUGAAAGAGACAAAAAAAAGGUGAUAUAUACAGUAUAAAAACAAA